rnacentral:ncRNA from 1 species
UACCUGUACUUGAAUAGAAAGACCCUAUUUAACUUCACUCUUCCCUAGGAUAUGCUUUAGGCCUUUCCUACUCAGCCUACGAAGCAGUGAAAGGAAAAGAAGGCCCCUUUUUGGGGGCCCAAGCCAUUAAUGAGACCACUCUUCCAAAGUUAGAAUUCUAACCUCGUGUCAGCAUCUACGAAACAAUCUCAAGAAGACAGUUCAAUGGGGCAUAGGCCUCCGAAAAGGUAAUGGAGGCAUGCAAAGUUUUCCUCAAGGUAGAUGGAGAUUGGCCUUUGAAUACAAAGGCAAAAAGGAGCUUGAUUAUAAGACCCACCCAACAAGAACAAAAGUUAGCCUCAGUGAUUCGACGGUACCAAGUGGAAGGGUCAUCGUUUAACAGAUAAAAGUGACUCUAGGGAUAAGAGGUUGAUCUUCCUCAAGAGCUCGCAUGGGAUGUCGGCUCUUCGCCACCUGGGUCUGUAGUAUGUUCCAAGGGUUGGGUUGUUUGCCGAUGAAAGCGGUACAUGAGUUGGGUUUAGAACAUCGUGAGACAGUUCUGUCCAUAUCUAGUGUGAG